GAUGAAGAACGUAGCGAAAUGCGAUAAGUAAUGUGAAUUGCGGAAUUCAGUGAAUCAUCGAAUCUUUGAACGCACAUUGCGCCCCCUGGUAUUCCGGGGGGCAUGCCUGUUCGAGCGUCAUUUCACCACUCAAGCCUCGCUUGGUAUUGGGCAACGCGGUCCGCCGCGUGCCUCAAAUCGACCGGCUGGGUCUUCUGUCCCCUAAGCGUUGUGGAAACUAUUCGCUAAAGGGUGUUCGGGAGGCUACGCCGUAAAACAACCCCAUUUCUAAGGUUGACCUCGGAUCAGGUAGGGAUACCCGCUGAACUUAAGCAUAUCAAUAAGCGGAGGA
rnacentral:misc_RNA from 1 species